rnacentral:tRNA from 1 species
GCCUUCGUGGUGUAGUGGUCAGCACGCUCGACGCGUAAUCCAGAGGUCCGUGGUUCGAGUCUCGGCGCGGGCA